GACUCGCUAGCUCAGCUGGUAGAGCAACAGACUCUUAAUCUGUGGGUCCAGGGUUCGAUCCCCUGGCGGGUCA
rnacentral:tRNA from 3 species